rnacentral:rRNA from 1 species
CCUACGGGGGGCAGCAGUAGGGAAUUUUCGUCAAUGGGCGCAAGCCUGAACGAGCAAUGCCGCGUGAACGAGGAAGGUCUUCGGAUCGUAAAGUUCUGUUGAAGGGGAAAAAGAGCGGAGAGAGGAAAUGGUCUCCGAUUGAUAUUACCCUUCGAGGAAGUCACGGCUAACUACGUGCCAGCAGCCGCGGUAAUACGUAGGUGGCGAGCGUUAUCCGGAUUUAUUGGGUUUAAAGGGUGCGUAGGCGGAUUUUUAAGUCAGCGGUAAUAUGUCCGGGCACACCCCGGGCCGGCCGUUGAAACUGG